UCUCCGGUCUCAGACUAUCCUAGGCACCUCGCUGUGUUGUUCAGGUAUAUUAAGAAAAGAGACGUCAUCGUGCUGAUAAAUGGCAUGGACCAGAAGCGGCUGCUCCGUGACGGCCUUUGGGAGCCGGCUCCUGUGAGGACUUUUGGUGUAGGUUAGCGUCGGAUGGCGGGACGGGCUGGUGCAGGUGGCCCUGUGAGCGAGGCCCACACAGGUCCUUGAUCCAUGGAAACGAGAUGGACCUGAGUCCUCCGCGGGCAGCAGAAAUCCAUCUGGAGAUGAAAGAACGUCUACCUGACGCUCUGGCAGACUUUCAAGGCGUACCCUGGGCUGACUCUGGGGCCAUGAUCUCACCUGAUCCUGCCCUGGGGAGGGCAGGACUAGGAGAUUUUGCCUUCCAAGAAUGGUGAAGAUACGGAAACCAUGAGGAAAUUGGCUCGAAAUCCAUGAGGCAGAAGAUGAGGGUUGCUGAGAGUCUGGAGCGGUGAAGAGGGGGCCGGGGUUCCAGGUUCACCUGAGAUGUGGAGGUCACAGCGGAGUAGCGUGGCUGCUUCCUGCAUCCGGAGCCACAGAAGGACUACUGUGGGAGCACCAUGGAAGUCUGGUUCUCAGCUUCUGUGUCUUCCUCUAGGCUUGCUCUCAAGUGAUGCUGACUGGCUCCAAGAAAAAGAAGGAAUGCCCCAAAUCGUGGGUCCGGUAUCUCCAGGGAUGUGGCUAUAAUCUUCAUGGCGUCGGGAUGGAAGAGGCUGAGCUCUGAGCUGAUGGAGCCAAAUGAAGAAGUGAUGCUGGAGAGUUGCAGGAAUCUGCUGUCCCUGGGUGCGGCAGUAAGACAUUCUGUCUCCCAAGACAAGGUGCAGUGGCCCAGCAGCACCGCUCACGACUCCUCCGACAACUUAUUGCUUCCGAAGAGCCAAAGCCGGAAGUCUGCCCUUGUCCCCCUGCGCCGGUCUGCUCCUGUCUAAUUCCUCAGCCAGCACAUGCUCAGAUCUUCCUGGAAGAUCUGAUCCUGCAGAAAAUCCCUUCCAGCCAAGGGGGUUCCGCCCAGGGCAUCGGAAGCAGCAGGGUGCUGACCACGGCUGCAGGGAGAAGGUGGCUUCAGACCCCGUGGGUGAGCACUGAGAAGAGACAGGCGUCGAGAGCAUUCUUCAGCCCAUUCUGAGGACAGUAGCAAGGCCCAGAGAAGGCAACGUGGUGGGAGGAACAGAGCCACACUCAGCCCAGGAGGCAAGCCCUGUGCAGCCAAAGGACUGAAGGAAUUAGAAACCUUGAGAUUUGGGGCAAUCAAAUGUAGGGGGUGUGAGCCAGACUGUAGCCUAAAAUCAGGUUCCAUCACUGACUGCAGGCCCCUCUUGGGGAAGAAGCCCCGUGUUUGCAAAAGCUGUGGGCAAGGGGGGCUGGCACUAUGGCGCAGUGGGUUAACACCCUGGCCUGAAGCGCCGGCAUCCCAUAUGGGUGCCGGUUCAAGACCUGGUUGCUUCACUUCCUGUCCAACUCUCUGCUAUCGCCUGGGAAAGCAGUGGAAGAUGGCCCAAGUCCUUGAGCCCCUGCACACAUGUGGGAGACCCGGAAGAAGCUCCUGGCUCCUGGCUUCGGAUCGAUGCAGCUCCGGCUGUUGCGGCCAUUUGAGGAGUGAACUAUUGGAUGCAAGACCUCUCUCUCUCUCUUUCUCUCUCUCUCUGCCUCUCCUCUCCUCUCUCUGUGUA